GGCGUCAGCUGAAGGACUGAAGCCGAAAAUCCUUCUGGAGUGGACUUUGUAAAUCAGGAGCCUCAGCUUCCGGUUAAUAUUAACCCCCAAGCCUCUUAACCUGUACAUGGAACAGAAAUCUUGGUCGUUUGCUCAGUAAGAUCUUAUUUAUGAUUUCACUGUGAAAGCGAAAUGAUCCAGAGCCUGAAUAAAAGGUCCAGAGCCUGAACAAAAGAUCCAGAGCACAGCUCUGGACGGGGUCUUCCUGCGCCUCCGGUAAACUGAGGGGACAGGGUCACGUCCAUAUCAGAUAAGGGAGACCGGGCAUCCGUAGAGCACCUUGGAAUGAGAUGAAGACCUUCCCUUUCUGAGGAGCUGUGCAAAGAGUUUCAGGGUGUUCAAGGAGAAGUGCACGAAGGAAGAACAGGACCGAGCAACUCCCCAUAGUCUACCACUCCCUCAGUCUCCCCACUCCGGAAAAGCGCUCUGAAGGCUUCCAUUUGGUCACUAAUCUUCCACGCAUCACUGACCACAGCCCAGGACCCAGGGGCACAAGAAGGAUCACAGUAACGGCCACGUAACUCUGACUCCCAUUCUCUAAGGUGAGAUUUCCUAACCAGCGACGACGGAGAGCAUCCCACGCCUGUCCAGGUGUGCCAUCCUUUCAUGUACCACCCGGAGCUCAGAUUAUUUUUUUCUCCACAGUUUUGACUCUUGUUGUGACCAGAACCGGCGAUAGGUCAAAGUCGAUGCCAGCUCGGUGAUGACAGUGGACCAUGACACCUGCUGAAGAUGGCACCAAGAGUGCUAUCUACACUAGUCUAUCAUUUGGGAAAGGCUCAGACUUGGAGACAGGGCAACUGAGUUUCCUCAGUUUACCAGCUGAGUGACCUUGGAUAGAUAUUCUCUUUGGCAGAGAUAGCUAGCAGCCUCCAAAGAUCAAAGAAAUUCUUCACUACUAGAAUUCAGAACAAUGGGCCCAGCGAAACGAUGAUUAUUCACUAAGUUCCUCCACAGCUGAGUGGACACGCAUGCCACGAUUUGGACCAUGAUGGAGGUGAUUUCUGGGCUAUCUGUGAAAACAAACUAAAGGCAAAGAGCCCAGGGUCAUUUUGUCACUGCCGUCUGUAAAUGGGGGAGCCUGGAGCUCCCGCAGUCAUGCUGGGUUUUGAGCUGAUUUUAGAAAUGUAAAUUAUGUGUUAAAGAUGGCAGAACAGACAAAAAAAAGCUGGGGACCAAAGUGCACCCUGAGUUCACUAUUUUCAGGUGUGCCUUAGAUGUGAGAGAAAUGAACUGCAAGUUCGUGUAAGCUGCUGUUUUCUCCUGUCAUAUGCAGCCAACCUGUAGUUUAACUAAUCGUCCUCAGCUUGAUAAUUAGAAGAGGAGCAGGGCCUAAAUCCAAGGGUGAUUGUAAGUGCUGUAUCUAAUCCAGGAAACAAUACAGACACAGCCUUUUCUAUACUCUCUAUAAAAGUUAAACAUGAUCAGUAAACCAAGCCUUACUGUGCACUUGAUAAAUGUUAUAUCCAAAGAGAUUGCAAUCCUGAGUUUCAUGAGUCCAGCCUUGAAAUGGAAUUUCAUUUAAAAAUCAUAGUGUAGCCACAAAAUAGUUAAAACUCAGUCACAAUAUUGUCGGAGCUACUCAA